UUUAAAACAGAUGCCAGAACCCAACGUCCU
rnacentral:piRNA from 1 species